UACGUAGGGGGCGAGCGUUAUCCGGAGUUACUGGGCGUAAAGCGCACGCAGGCGGUCGUGCAAGUUUGGGGUUACAGCUCCCGGCUCAACUGGGAGAGCGCCUCGAAGACUGCGCGACUGGAGGGCCACAGAGGGACACAGAAUUCCGGGUGUAGUGGUGAAAUGCGUAGAUAUCCGGAGGAAUACCAAAGGCGAAGGCAGUGUCCUGGGUGGCACCUGACGCUCAGGUGCGAAAGCUAGGGGAGCGAACGGGAUUAGAUACCCCGGUAGUCCUAGCCGUAAACGAUGACCACUAGGUGUGCGGGGUAUCGACCCCCUGCGUGCCGCAGUUAACGCAAUAAGUGGUCCGCCUGGGGAGUACGGUCGCAAGAUUAAA
rnacentral:rRNA from 1 species